UACGAGGGGUCCUAGCGUUGUUCGGAAUCAUUGGGCGUAAAGGGUGUGUAGGUGGCUAUGUAAGUCCGGUGUGAAAGCCCCGGGCUCAACCCGGGAAGUGCAUUUGAUACUGCGUAGCUUGAGUACCGAAGAGGAUAGUGGAAUUCCAGGUGUAGUGGUGAAAUACGUAGAUAUCUGGAGGAACACCGGUGGCGAAGGCGGCUAUCUGGUCGAGUACUGACACUGAGACACGAAAGCAUGGGGAUCAAACAGG
rnacentral:rRNA from 1 species